rnacentral:rRNA from 1 species
GACGAACGCUGGCGGCGUGCCUAAUACAUGCAAGUCGAACGCAGUGGGGACGGGUGAGUAACACGUGGGUAACCUCCCCCUCAGAGGGGAUAACACUUGGAAACAGGUUCUACACCGAUACUGAUGGAUGGCCACGCGGUGCCUUAGCUAGUUGGUGAGGUAACGUCUCACCAAGGCCACGAUGCAUAGCCGACCUGAGAGGGUGAUCGUCCACAAUGGGACUGAGACACGGCCCAGAUGCCUACGGGAGGCAGCAGUAGGGAAUCUUCGGCAAUGGACGAAAGUCUGACCGAGAAACGCCGCGUGAGUGAAGAAGGUUUUCGGAUCGUAAAACUCUGUUGUUAGAGAAGCGGUAUCUAACCAGAAAGCCACGGCUAACUACGUGCCAGCAGCCGCGGUAAUAC